CCUACGGGGGGCAGCAGUGGGGAAUAUUGCACAAUGGGGGAAACCCUGAUGCAGCAACGCCGCGUGAGUGAAGAAGUAUCUCGGUAUGUAAAGCUCUAUCAGCAGGGAAGAAAAUGACGGUACCUGACUAAGAAGCCCCGGCUAACUACGUGCCAGCAGCCGCGGUAAUACGUAGGGGGCCAGCGUUAUCCGGAUUUACUGGGUGUAAAGGGAGCGUAGACGGUGGGGCAAGUCUGAAGUGAAAGUCCGGGGCUCAACCGCGAGAUUGCCGUUGAAACUGUAAGGCUUGAGUGCAGUAGAGGUAAGCGGAAUUCGUAGUGUAGCGGUGAAAUGCGUAGAUAUCAGGAAGAACUCCGGUUGCGAAGGCAGCUUACUGGACUGUAACUGACGCUGAGGCUCGAAAGCGUGGGGAGCAAACAGGAUUAGAUACCCUUGUAGUC
rnacentral:rRNA from 1 species